rnacentral:rRNA from 1 species
AUUGAACGCUGGCGGCAGGCUUAACACAUGCAAGUCGAGCGGGGUGAUGGUGCUUGCACUAUCACUUAGCGGCGGACGGGUGAGUAAUGCUUAGGAAUCUGCCUAUUAGUGAGGGACAACAUCUCGAAAGGGAUGCUAAUACCGCAUACGUCCUACGGGAGAAAGCAGGGGAUCACUUGUGACCUUGCGCUAAUAGAUGAGCCUAAGUCGGAUUAGCUAGUUGGUGGAGUAAAGGCCUACCAAGGCGACGAUCUGUAGCGGGUCUGAGAGGAUGAUCCGCCAAACUGGGACUGAGACACGGCCCAGACUCCUAUGGGAGGCAGCAGUGGGGAAUAUUGGACAAUGGGGGGAACCCUGAUCCAGCCAUGCCGCGUGUGUGAAGAAGGCCUUAUGGUUGUAAAGCACUUUAAGCGAGGAGGAGGCUCUUUUGGUUAAUACCCAAGAUGAGUGGACGUUACUCGCAGAAUAAGCACCGGCUAACUCUGUGCCAGCCGCCGCGGUAA